UUGCUAUGAUGAAUGAUAAAACAGUAUGGAAGUUCCUAUUUAUAGUGGCUGGAUGAAAGUCAAUACUGAGCGGUUACCUGAGCAA